GCUUACGGCCAUAUCACGUUGAAAGCACCGGUUCUCGUCCGAUCACUGAAGUUAAGCAACAUCGAGCCUAGUUAGUACUUAGAUGGGUGACCGCUUGGGAAACUAGGUGCUGUAAGCA
rfam:Octopus bimaculoides Scaffold20499_contig_59, whole genome shotgun sequence.